rnacentral:rRNA from 1 species
GACGAACGCUGGCGGCGUGCCUAAUACAUGCAAGUAGAACGCAGUUGCGAACGGGUGAGUAACGCGUAGGUAACUGCCUCAUAGCGGGGGAUAACUAUUGGAAACGAUAGCUAAUACCGCAUACUGUGAGAUGGACCUGCGUUGUAUUGGCUAGUUGGUGGGGUAAAGGCUCACCAAGGCGACGAUACAGAGCCGACCUGAGAGGGUGAUCGACCACACCGGGACUGAGGCCAGGGCCCGACUCCUACGGGGGGCAGCAAGAGGGAAACUUCGGCAAUGGGCGGAAGUCUGGCCGAGGAACUCCGCGGUGGGGAAGAAGGUUUUCGGGUCGGAAAGCUCUUUUGAUAGAGAAGCGUAAACUAACCAGAAAGGAACGGCUAACUACGUGCCAGCAGCCGCGGUAAUAC